rnacentral:rRNA from 1 species
GAACGCGAAGAACCUUACCUGGCCUUGACAUCCACGGAAUUUGGCAGAGAUGCCUUAGUGCCUUCGGGAACCGUGAGACAGGUGAUGCAUGGCUGUCGUCAGCUCGUGUUGUGAAAUGUUGGGUUAAGUCCCGCAACGAGCGCAACCCUUAUCCUUUGUUGCCAGCACGUAAUGGUGGGAACUCAAAGGAGACUGCCGGUGAUAAACCGGAGGAAGGUGGGGAUGACGUCAAGUCAUCAUGGCCCUUACGGCCAGGGCUACACACGUGCUACAAUGGCGCAUACAAAGAGAAGCGACCUCGCGAGAGCAAGCGGACCUCAUAAAGUGCGUCGUAGUCCGGAUCGGAGUCUGCAACUCGACUCCGUGAAGUCGGAAUCGCUAGUAA